GUGGAGAGGAGACUCCGACCAACUGGGGCAGGCGGCUCAGAUCGCGGCCGGAGAGUGUUUGCCGGAUUGGGGAACCUCAGGAGCCUGCCCAACUUGGUACUAGGUGCAACAGGGCCUCUAGUGCAUGCCGCACGGCGAAGACACAUGCUUGUGGGCAUGGAUGGGGCUGGCAGAAAGCUGCAUUAAUUCCUAAGCCUGCAUACAGAACAGCCCGUUGUACGCUGCGCUGGAACACAGUCCCCAUUUUUGAGUACUGGAAUCUAGGAGCGGUCAUGCACACCUGUAAUCUCAGACUCUGGUUGCAGAGGCAGGAAGAGCCAGAGUUUGGAGCCAGACCGGACUACAUAGUAAACAAAGAUUUCAGUGCUUUGGAGAGAAUAGGAAUGAAUGCCUGUAAGAUCUCACAGCUGAUGAGUUAUGGAACUCGGGCUCCUAAACACUUUGUCACUGCGCACUUCUUUACUCUUUGUUGAUUUGAAGUGGGUCGGGGGAGCUGAAAUGCCACGGAGACUUAAGCACUUGAAGCCUUGAACCCGAGGCCUGUGAUCCAUUUAUCCUUGAAUGUGGUGAGAACCUUAAGAUGGGAAAUGUUAACUAAUUCUAGCUACUCCUGUAUUUGGAGAGUUUAUUGUUAACCAGUAGACCCAUGAAAUAGGGGUUCACUGGCUCCGAUUCAUUGAUGAGAAAACAGGCUGAGUAGUGUGACAUUUGUUUGCAAUCAUACAAAAUAUACUUCUUAUCAGUUGA